CAAACAGGAUUAGAUACCCUGGUAGUCCACGCCGUAAACGAUGUCUACUUGGAGGUUGUGCCCUUGAGGCGUGGCUUCCGGAGCUAACGCGUUAAGUAGACCGCCCGGGAGUACGGCCGCAAGGUUAAAACUCAAAUGAAUUGACGGGGGCCCGCACAAGCGGUGGAGCAUGUGGUUUAAUUCGAUGCAACGCGAAGAACCUUACCUGGUCUUGACAUCCACAGAAGAAUCCAGAGCGGACGGGUGAGUAAUGUCUGGGAAACUGCCUGAUGGAGGGGGAUAACUACUGGAAACGGUGGCUAAUACCGCAUAACGUCGCAAGACCAAAGAGGGGGACCUUCGGGCCUCUUGCCAUCAGAUGUGCCCAGAUGGGAUUAGCUUGUUGGUGAGGUAACGGCUCACCAAGGCGACGAUCCCUAGCUGGUCUGAGAGGAUGACCAGCCACACUGGAACUGAGACACGGUCCAGACUCCUACGGGAGGCAGCAGUGGGGAAUAUUGCACAAUGGGCGCAAGCCUGAUGCAGCCAUGCCGCGUGUAUGAAGAAGGCCUUCGGGUUGUAAAGUACUUUCAGCGGGGAGGAAGGUGUUGUGGUUAAUAACCGCAGCAAUUGACGUUACCCGCAGAAGAAGCACCGGCUAACUCCGUGCCAGCAGCCGCGGUAAUACGGAGGGUGCAAGCGUUAAUCGGAAUUACUGGGCGUAAAGCGCACGCAGGCGGUCUGUCAAGUCGGAUGUGAAAUCCCCGGGCUCAACCUGGGAACUGCAUUCGAAACUGGCAGGCUUGAGUCUUGUAGAGGGGGGUAGAAUUCCAGGUGUAGCGGUGAAAUGCGUAGAGAUCUGGAGGAAUACCGGUGGCGAAGGCGGCCCCCUGGACAAAGACUGACGCUCAGGUGCGAAAGCGUGGGGAGCAAACAGGAUUAGAUACCCUGGUAGUCCACGCCGUAAACGAUGUCUACUUGGAGGUUGUGCCCUUGAGGCGUGGCUUCCGGAGCUAACGCGUUAAGUAGACCGCCUGGGGAGUACGGCCGCAAGGUUAAAACUCAAAUGAAUUGACGGGGGCCCGCACAAGCGGUGGAGCAUGUGGUUUAAUUCGAUGCAACGCGAAGAACCUUACCUGGUCUUGACAUCCACAGAAGAAUCCAGAGAUGGAUUUGUGCCUUCGGGAACUGUGAGACAGGUGCUGCAUGGCUGUCGUCAGCUCGUGUUGUGAAAUGUUGGGUUAAGUCCCGCAACGAGCGCAACCCUUAUCCUUUGUUGCCAGCGGUUAGGCCGGGAACUCAAAGGAGACUGCCAGUGAUAAACUGGAGGAAGGUGGGGAUGACGUCAAGUCAUCAUGGCCCUUACGACCAGGGCUACACACGUGCUACAAUGGCGCAUACAAAGAGAAGCGACCUCGCGAGAGCAAGCGGACCUCAUAAAGUGCGUCGUAGUCCGGAUUGGAGUCUGCAACUCGACUCCAUGAAGUCGGAAUCGCUAGUAAUCGUGGAUCAGAAUGCCACGGUGAAUACGUUCCCGGGCCUUGUACACACCGCCCGUCACACCAUGGGAGUGGGUUGCAAAAGAAGUAGGUAGCUUAACCUUCGGGAGGGCGCUUACCACUUUGUGAUUCAUGACUGGGGUGAAGUCGUAACAAGGUAACCGUAGGGGAACCUGCGGUUGGAUCACCUCCUUACCUUAAAGAAGC
rnacentral:rRNA from 1 species